AUUCCAGCUCCAGUAGCGUAUAUUAAAGUUGUUGCAGUUAAAAAGCUCGUAGUUGGAUUUCUGGUACGGCGCGUUUGGCCGACACCCGUUAGGGUGUUCUGUGCCGUGCGCGCCUGCCAUCUUUCUAGAAAACCUCUCUACCCUUCACUGGGCCGGAUUGGCAGAUCUAGAACUUUUACUUUGAAAAAAUUAGAGUGUUUAAAGCAGGCUUGUGCUAUGAAUACAUUAGCAUGGAAUAAUAAUUUAGGACUUUGGUCCUAUUUUGUUGGUUUCUAGGACCGAAGUAAUGAUUGAUAGGGAUAGUUGGGGGUGCUAGUAUUCAGCGGCCAGAGGUGAAAUUCUUGGAUUCGCUGAAGACUAACUUAUGCGAAAGCAUUCACCAAGGAUGUCUUCAUCA
rnacentral:rRNA from 1 species